UUCAUGGGGGAGAGGGCGCAGUUGGCAAACAAAUAUAGAAUAUGUGUGUCAUUUGCAUAAAAAUAUGAUACAGAGCUUAAAUGCUCUCAGUAAAGUACAAUGAGGCAAAAAAAAAGACCAGAUAAAGGAAUUCCUGGAGUGCUCGAGGUGUUUAGUUAGGUCACACUCCUUUAAGAAGACUUCAUAGAUGAUCUCAGUCCUUAAUUUUGACAAAAAAGAGAAAUAAUUUGGUGAGACUGAUGAUAAACGGGAAGAAAGUGGGCGACCGUGGUGUGAUAAAUUAUUUAGUAUGGCCUUUCUUGCCACGGUCUUGUAACUCCCACCCAGAUGAUUGGGCGGGGCUGUGAAAAUAAGAUAAUUGUGGCCCACCAAGGGGAUUGGUCAGUUUUGCCUUAAAAGAGGGCCAGAGCAGAAAGACAGCCCACUACCACAAAGGAACAAGAGACCAGCUAGAGAGACUCCAGGAGAAGGCACAGUGGACUUUCUCAGCCCACAGAGCGAGAAAGCUGCGUGCCUUUGGACUGAGACUGAGGGCCAGGGAGAAGCCUACGCCUGACCCACGAAUUUGGGACUUGCCAGCCUCCACAACUGUCCUGCUGAAGCCUCCACCCUGCUGCUUGACCUGCAGAUCUUGGAUUCUCCAGCCCCUGCAACUCCAUGAGCCAGCAGAGAUCUUCGGCCUGCUGCCAGACCCAUGGAUUUGGGACUUGCAAGCCCCCACAAUUGCAUGAGCCAUUUCCUUGAAGUAUUUUGAAGACCAAAAAAUAUCAGUCAUACCAGAGGCUGGUGUUGAAACGUAGAUGCUGCUGGUGUGAAGAAAGUGAACAUGGCAGAAAGCCAAGGGACCCAAGGUGAUUUAAAGAGGCCCAAGAAGAAAGGCAGACCAGAGCCUGGGAAAUGAAACACGUGAAGACCGAAGGAGUAUUCAAAUAGCAACUCUAUCAAGGGCUGUCUUCAACCCACAACUGGGAAAGGCUAUGUGGUACAAUCUGUUGUUUUUCAAAGUGGGGUUGUAUAUAUCUCUGAAGACAUCGACUGUGUGCAGGUGGUCUAGGAAGUCAUAGGGUAAGUAUGGGACAUCUUCUGGAAUGGCAGUUUUACUUUAGAGAGUGGGAGAAGGGGAGCCAAAUAAUUCUAAAAGAAUUAAUUGGCAAGUUAUAUAGACAGUAAUAUUGAAGCAAACAUGUAAUAUAUUAAAUUUGCACCAAUUUUAAGAUUAAAUGAGAUAUUUAAUAGAAAUGCCAUGUUUUCAGCAGGACAUGUUAGUUGCAGCAUCCCAUACCACCCAGGGUAGUUUUUUUCUGCUUUUAGAGCUACUUUGGGGGAAAGAGCAUGGUAGAGCAAAAUUAACACCAAGUUUCUGACUUUCUUACCGUCUACUGAUGUGAACCUGGACAAGUCCUACUCAAAAUCUCUCUGUAUAAAAUGGCCAAAACACUGCUACCAAACCAAUGUCACAAAGAUUUUUCUUAAAAAAAUCAAAUAAGAAAUUGUAGGUACAAGCCCUUGAUGAACUGUAAAAGAGGAAAAGAUUAAAAUUUUGAUAUUUAUUUAGCGGACAUUUAUUGAGCCCUUACUAUGUGACGAGACUUCACUAGGUACAAUUCUUCUCUUCAAGGAGCCUACUGGCUUGAAAGAAGAGCAGCUGCACAAAUCAAGCACAUCAACGCAGUAGAGAAGCCAAUGAUAGACAUUUGUGCUUUCAGCUGUGUUAUUUGAGGAAAGACCCACAGAUGUCAGCCAUAAUAUUGGACAUUGCAACUUAAGGGGAAAGAAGCAAACACCAAAACCAAACAUUUCUGAGAGAAAGAGAGAUUGUCCUGCCUAAGAAUUCAGUAAACAGCCCAAACAGACUAUUUAUAACAAAAUACCUGCCCUACCUGCUGAACCCUGCAUGGUAUAUUUCCUACCAUGACAGUCAUAAAACGAGGAAGCUUUAUGGGAGUUCACACUGCUAAAGAAGGAUAAUAACAUCAAAUGACUUCAGACUGUGGUGUUGACCCAGGAGAGGAUCAGCAUACGACACAGUUCAGAAGGAUACUUGAAAAAUCAUGGCAGUAACAGCCGCUACAUGAAAGGCAAGGAUGUUACUUAAUGUUUUUUGUAAGGGUAUGAUCUCUACUGUAUCCAAUCUCUAAUGACAGUAGACAGAAAAAAAAAAAAAAGUUGCCAUCGAGUCAAUUCUAAAGCCUUUCUUUUGAGGGACCUUUGAGUGGAUUCAAACUUCCAACCUUUCACUUAGCAAGCCAAG